UACGUAGGGGCCUAGCGUUGUCCGGAAUUAUUGGGCGUAAAGAGCUCGUAGGCGGUUCGGCAAGUCGGAUGUGAAAUCUCCACGCUCAACGUGGAGGGGCCAUUCGAAACUGCCGUGACUCGAGUCCGGUAGGGGAGUGUGGAAUUCCCGGUGUAGCGGUGAAAUGCGUAGAUAUCAAGAGGAACACCUGAGGUGAAGACGGGUUGCUGGGCUGACACUGACGCUGAGGCGCGAAAGCCAGGGGAGCAAACGGG
rnacentral:rRNA from 1 species